ACUGGAUUGAAUAUUCAUAGUUGCUCCUACGCGGAGGUUGUGUUGAGUCUCCUAUUUGAUUGAUAUGUUUACGACUUCAUUAUUUGCAUUUCUAACUUUUAAUGGUUUGCCACUUUGUUUGGUGUUCUUUCUUGUUCGAACUCCUGGUAACCUUAAGUCAAUGCGAUUAGCGAAAAUUGCUUUGGAAAUAGCUGCACAGUUCAUGUGCUUACAUCAAGUUUCUGAAUUACUAGAAGAGAGGAGAGAUUUUAUGCAUGUAUAUAACUUGAACUUGCAAAAUGCUUCAAAUUGAUAAGAGUACUGACAUGGGAAAUUAUACGAUCUCUUCUCUAAUUGGUGCUAUCUUGAGGGAUUUUAUGUUGCGUGUUGUAUAGGUCAAAAUUAGAUCAGAGAAAUUCUUCACGCUGAGAUAUAAGGUCGUGGUCGGACAGGCCGAGGUCGGACAGUCAUCAAUAGCCAAGGUCGGACAGUCAUCAAUAGCCGAGGUCGGACAGUCACCAAUAGCCGAGAUCGGACAGUCACCAAUAAGGUCGAGGUCGGACAGUGAUGAAAUAGCUAGUUUGCUUUGGAAUCCUCAAAGGAAAUAUUCUACUGAAUAUUCCCUCUAAUUGUACUUUUUAAAGAUUUUCUAAGGAUACCCCUUAUAAAUAGGAAGAGAGGACUUCCAAAAGGGGUGCUCGGGCUCCAUCUCCCUCUCUCUAAAAAAUAUGUAAACAUACCUCUUUAAAGAGAUUAGAGGAUCUGUGAUCCCAGACCUUCAUCAGAUCUAAAAAGGGUCUUAAGGUUCUUGUAUAUGUUAUCAUUUGUCUUUAUCAAAUGAAAGAACAUCCACUCAACUCAA